rnacentral:rRNA from 1 species
GCGGCAGCAGCUCAAAUUUGAAAUCUGGCCCCUCCGGGCCCGAGUUGUAAUUUGCAGAGGAUGCUUCGGCGUCGGCCCCGGCCUAAGUUCCUUGGAACAGGACGUCGCAGAGGGUGAGAAUCCCGUACGCGGCCGGUGUCCCCCGCCAUGUGAAGCUCCUUCGACGAGUCGAGUUGUUUGGGAAUGCAGCUCUAAAUGGGAGGUAAAUUUCUUCUAAAGCUAAAUACCGGCCAGAGACCGAUAGCGCACAAGUAGAGUGAUCGAAAGAUGAAAAGCACUUUGGAAAGAGAGUUAAAAAGUACGUGAAAUUGUUGAAAGGGAAGCGCUUGCAACCAGACCUGCCCGCGGUCGCUCAUCCAGGCUCCUGCCUGGUGCACUCUUCCGCGGUCAGGCCAGCAUCGGUUCGGGCGGUCGGACAAAGGCGGCGGGAAUGUGGCUCCCCUCGGGGAGUGUUAUAGCCCGCCGCGCAAUGCGGCCAGCCGGGACCGAGGUCCGCGCUUCGGCUAGGAUGCUGGCGUAAUGGUCGCAAGCGGCCCGUCUUGAAACACGGACCAAGGAGUCUAACAUCUGUGCGAGUGUUUGGGUGUCAAGCCCGAGCGCGCAAUGAAAGUGAACGGAGGCGGGAACCCUCGGGUGCACCGUCGACCGAUCCUGAUGUCUUCGGAUGGAUUUGAGUAAGAGCAUAGCUGUUGGGACCCGAAAGAUGGUGAACUAUGCCUGAAUAGGGUGAAGCCAGAGGAAACUCUGGUGGAGGCUCGCAGCGGUUCUGACGUGCAAAUCGAUCGUCAAAU